GGGCUAAACACGGUUGGACAUCGUGUGGUUAGUGCAAUGGCAUAAGCCCGCUUGACUGCGAGAAUGACAAUUCGAGCAGGUGCGAAAGCAGGUCAUAGUGAUCCGGUGGUUCUGAAUGGAAGGGCCAUCGCUCAACGGAUAAAAGGUACUCCGGGGAUAACAGGCUGAUACCCGCCCAAGAGUUCAUAUCGACGGCGGUGUUUGGCACCUCGAUGUCGGCUCAUCACAUCCUGGGGCUGAAGUUCGGUCCCAAGGGUAUGGCUGUUCGCCAUUUAAAGUGGUACGCGAG
rnacentral:ncRNA from 2 species